UUUAAUGUUGAUAAUUAUUUUAGAUAUAAAAAUAUUAUCAUGGAUGCUGUGAUAAUUGUACAAAAUGAUGACAGACAUGUAUAUGAAUGUGUAUGAAUAUUCGUGUAGAUGCAUCGUAUUGAUUUACAUUCUGAAAUUGCUACCUUAGCGAUCGCGAAAAUACUGGUACAUUCCAUAGAUGAUUCACUGCCGCCCUACCCGUAUUAUUCGAGGCUAUUGCAACGCUCUGCUUUUCUUUAUUUUUAUUAUCGACGAUUCUUGCAAGGUUGUAUUCUCUCAACGUAUCCGGCGCCUUUUAUAGCAAACAGAUAUUCCCUUCAAGUUUGGACCUUCGAACGACAAGACGAAAGCUACAUGGUCGACUUGGUUUUUUGAUUCACCAUCGCGAAACAUUAGUCAGCAUCCAGAAUUUGGUUGCUUGCCAGACUCCUUGGGCUUAUCACGAAUACCAAAAUGGAGAUUGACCGACGCCAUUAUCUUUUAGUGGAAAAUGAUUUCUAUUGAGAAUAUGAUAAACGUAACACUACGAUUCGUUCUAAUAAAUUAAACUAACCAAUCA
rnacentral:lncRNA from 1 species